GGCUCAGAUUGAACGCUGGCGGCAUGCUUUACACAUGCAAGUCGAACGGCAGCACGGGCUUCGGCCUGGUGGCGAGUGGCGAACGGGUGAGUAAUGCAUCGGAACGUGCCCAUUUGUGGGGGAUAACUACGCGAAAGCGUGGCUAAUACCGCAUACGCCCUGAGGGGGAAAGCGGGGGAUUCUUCGGAACCUCGCGCAAUUGGAGCGGCCGAUGUCAGAUUAGCUUGUUGGUGAGGUAAAGGUUCACCAAGGCGACGAUCUGUAGCGGGUCUGAGAGGAUGAUCCGCCACACUGGGACUGAGACACGGCCCAGACUCCUACGGGAGGCAGCAGUGGGGAAUUUUGGACAAUGGGGGCAACCCUGAUCCAGCCAUGCCGCGUGAGUGAAGAAGGCCUUCGGGUUGUAAAGCUCUUUCAGCCGGGAAGAAAACGCACUCUCUAACAUAGGGUGUGGAUGACGGUACCGGACCAAGAAGCACCGGCUAACUACGUG
rnacentral:rRNA from 1 species